rnacentral:tRNA from 1 species
AUCGGGCGAUGUCGGAUGAGGUCCGACGACCAGAACCGGGCUCAUAACCCGGAGGUCGCAGGUUCAGAUCCUGCCCCCGCUACCA